UAUCUAUAUUUGUACAUAGAAAUUUUCAUUGCACUGUCCUGUAGGAUUUUAUACUUAUAACUAUACUUUUUUUUUAGUUUUUCUAUUUUUAUUUGUUUG